UAAGCUCACUCCCCGACCACGAAGCCA
rnacentral:piRNA from 1 species